GAGACCGAAGGACCGAGAGAGGGGGGGUGGGGGGUGAAAACUGUGUGUGUGUGUGAGAGAACUAGUAAGUUAGUGGUGGGGUGGGGGGGCGUAAAUGACACAGUACAGCAGAGAAAGAAUAAAACACUCUGCACUGCCACCUGCUGGCACAGCCAUGUCAGACAAGAUGGUUUACAUCAGAGGAGCAGGCGCCAUCUGUGUGUGUGUGUUGUGGGUGAGUAGAGUGUGUGUGUGAGAGAGCGGGUGAGUAGAGUGUGUGUGUGAGAGAGCAGCAGCAGUCCCUCUGUGCCCCUGUGAUUACUGCUCCUUGUCUAUAAUCUCCCGCCAUUCAAACUCUAUGUGUGUGUGUGUGUGAUAGAGUAUGUAGAGAGUAUUUCCUCGGCUUGACUCAGGAUGGCAGCAAACCCUCAAGUUCAUACGCAGACCUGGACUUCAGAUCAUGCCACAGUUUCCUAUUUACACACACACACACACACACACGUACGUGCACCCUAGUGUCAUUCAUUGAUCUGUUUUUCCCCCCUUUCUCUCUCUUGAACGAGCUGGUCUUGUUCAUAUUUCUUGUUUGUGUGACAUAUUUGGAGUGAGUGAUGGGGUGCUUUGCUGCAGUCCCCCAUCAGGAGUUGAGGAAAUGAGGGCAUGGAUAUGUGCUGAUGUGGACACAAGUGAUUUGUCACGUAUGGUGAAUCCACUAAUAGCUUGCCAUCCUUAAUUUACAUCAUUUUCAUUCUUUUUUUAAAUGGUGCAGCAUCUACUGUUUCCGUGUAUCAAUAAUGUUAUUUUGAAAACAUAUUUGAAAUACAGACUCUGUAGACAGGCCUAUGCAUUUUCUAUGUCUUUAUAUUUUAGGUUUAUUAUUUACCUGGUGGUUAAAAUGAGAAUUGUAUUAGGCUUAUCAAAACAUGAACAAUUAACAUACUUGGAAAUAUGAUCUUUUCAUUGUUUGUUUCAUUCUAGGCCUAGAAUUUUUUUUAAGAGGACCUAAAAUCACAUUUUACUCCUUCGAUAAAUUAUUUAUGACAGUAAUACAUAUGACUGCAUGUGCAGGGUAUCAUUGGGUGUACACUACACACAUAUCUAUACACACACACACACUCUCCCACUUUGUGGAUAGACCCGCACUGUUGUCAUUGCAGUACAGUUGUAUCAUCCCAUGGUGUGCGUGAGCAUGUAGCGGGUAUUAGCAAGUGAUCCUACUGUAGGUUAACGCAGAGAGCUUGCGACUACUCUUAUUAGGUCUGCAGUGAAGUCGCAUUUUAGAAUCAAGGUCUUGACCUUUUGAGUUUAACUGACUUGUGAAGAUAUUCUACAAGUCCCAUCGUUAUGUCACAGGCUCCACUUUUCCCAACGUCGUUUUCUCUGCGUAAUGUCAAUUUUGCUGGUGCUAAGGCAGCUUUGUAAGAAUGAGGUCUGUUUCUUUAAUGUGUGCCAUGCUCAGAAACGCGUCUUGUAGUCUGGGACACUGGGCCAUCAGGCGCCCACCUCUGGCAGUUCUACUCUAUUUAGAGACGCCGCUCUUUAUUUAUAGUGAAUUUGGAGUCCAGAUGACCUACGUUCUCAGAAAUGAAUUCGGAUGCUCACAGGCUCAAAGUCCACUUAACCUUUCAAAGUAUUCAGAUUUAGCCUAGGAGAGGAUGAUUAUCCCAGGUGGUAUAACAGACACGAUGAAAUACGGCCACAAGUGUCUGCGUUCGUGCGUGUGAGUGAGAGAGUCAGAAAGAUUGGGUUUGGUGUAUGUGCGCGUCUGACUAGUUCCACUAGGGCUACAACUAACGUUUUUUUCAUAGUUGAUUAAACUGUUAAUUAUUUUCUAAAUAAAUCUAUUAGUCGUUUGAUCGAUAAAUGUCAGAAAACUGAUGUUUCCCAAAGCACAAGAUAAUGUCCUCUUUUGUCCACAUGCCAAAGAUAUUUAAUUUACUGUUAUGGAGUAAGUAAAGCUGAACAUAUUCAAGUUUAAGAUGCAGCAAUUCGGGAAUGUUGAGGUAAUUUCCUUAAAAAUGGCACGAAAUCACUAACCGAUUACCAAAAUAGUUAGAUUAAUUUAAUAAUUUUUUGAACUGUUGUCAACUUGUCACUCUGUAAACACAGCUGUGGAAUCAGCACUUGGCUGCUUGUUGAUCUACAGUGUUGAUCUGGCAAAAGCAUCAGUUGAUUGUGAUAUGGAUUUGAGCGUCCUCUUCUGCCUCUCUGAGCAUCACUAUGCCAGUCAGUCUUUUGGCACUAAUUGUUUAUUCUGCACCUGUGCUGAGUAUGAUGUUGUACACAGAAGUAGCAGAACAGAGUGGCAGAAAUGACUGUUUUCUGCACAAUUACCCCCCAAAAUGUUAUUCUGCAGUGUUAACCAGAAGGGAAAAAAAACCUCAUUUAAAAACAACUCAAAGCAUCCCUCCCCAAAGCUAAACCGAUAUAGAGACCUGGGCGUCUCCGCGGCCUCGCCCUCUUGCUGUAAAGUUCUUGUGUCGGACAUUCAAUGACACUCCUCACUCGGCCUAUCUGUCCUGUGGUGCGUCCAGGCUGUCCUGGCGAUGGCUCCUGACCACAACAUUGGUCCCCGUGCAGACGUAAUCCUCCUUAAUGAGUUGGCCCCUCAGGUUUGUCACACACCUGCAGUGCUUUGGCCUGAGGGACUGGCCAUAAUGGCAGGUUUCCACCUCUGCAACUGACCGGGACUCUGACCGAACCCUCAGAAUAUAUAUAUAUAUAUAUAUAUAUAUAUAUAUAUAUGCACUCAAAGCGCAACAGAGCCUGACCGGGCUGUUUAUAGUGUGUAAACAUGUAUUUUUUUACUGGAGUAUGACCUGUUAUGCUGUAUAUUGAGAGAAUAAUAAUAAAAAAGUACUCUUUA